rnacentral:lncRNA from 1 species
CACUUAGUCGCCGAAUCAGAUGGAAAUGCUUUUUGUGGCGGCUUCGAGGUGGGUGCGACGCUGUCGUCCACCCGACAAACUCUCGGCUGUCGACUAUUGCCUGCGGUGGAAUGGGGGAUAUGUCUUCGGGCGCUCCUAAACCAUCGGAAACAGCAGACCAUGGCGUCCUGCAAAUCGUUUCUUUCCACGACGCGCGAUCUGCUGUUGACGCUCGGUGUUAUCAGACCGUCGCAUUUCUUGUCCUGUUCAGAAACAGCGGAAACUGACGAGAGGCUGUUCCCCAAAUCAUCUGGGAAGAAACCGCGCCGACCCAACUGCAGUGGUAACGCCGGCGGUUGAGCGAAUGCAUCACCGACAGCUGAAGAAUAACAAGAAGCACGGGGACAGAGGAAGGCGCGCGGAGUGUUAUCUUCGCUACUGGGACACGAAGACGACCAGUCGCUGGAAUCCGCUUCCGUUUCUUCUGUCGACGACGAAGGAAAGUCGAGAAAGAGAGGAGCGGCAAGAAGUUUCCAUGGGCGACAUGCAACUGCAGACAACUGUCGUAGACUCCAGGGGUUGGAACCCGAACUUUCGUUUCCCUCGUCAGUUGAAUCUGCUUGUGAACGGAGAGAUGCACCAUUUGGAGUGACUUGUUCUGGAUCUUUCCGGCAGGAUUUCCCGUCGUCUGUAUCUCCGCUUUGACACCCGCUCUCCUCUCUCGCUCGCUCCAGACGGCACCUGUUUGCCUGUAAAAGCACUGAUUGCUUGUGUUCGACGAAGGCUGCCGCUCGGCGUAGAAGAGAGUCAGUCACACUGGGGUCUCUCGGAGAGCAACCCGAGAAAGCUGAGGAAGUGAGUCCUAGGCGAGCCCGUGAAGAAGGCGAAGAAGAAUACCAUUGGGAUUCUGCUGUUGCUGGACUCAGGAGACUUUCUUUAGGCUGUAUUGUGAAUACGUUGUGGCCAUCUGAAGAAGAGCUAUCCUGGCGUUGGCCGCCACCAGUCGCUUUCCAGUGAAGAUCCAGGAAACCCGUUUGAUUUUGGGCAUGCCUCAAGAAACGCGUUGCGGAAGGUUCAACCGACCCUGCAAGAUCUGCCGCAGUGCACUUUAUCUCUCUCCACUUGCGCACACGUCGAAGCAAUCCCUCUUCCAUGAUCUCCUGACGAAUUCUAGAGAAUCGCCUCGGCUCCGCUGUGCUUGUUCUGCCCCAAAUGCAUUCCUCAGCAUCAGCCGGGCUGUGCUGUUCCUCUUCCCAAGGCGUUGUUCGGGGCCGG